ACCCUCUGAAGCGGCGGAUCCUCUUCGGCU
rnacentral:rRNA from 1 species